rnacentral:rRNA from 1 species
UACGUAGGGGGCAAGCGUUAUCCGGAUUUACUGGGUGUAAAGGGAGCGUAGACGGCAUGGCAAGUCAGAUGUGAAAGCCCGGGGCUCAACCCCGGGACUGCAUUUGGAACUGUGUGGCUGGAGUGUCGGAGAGGCAGGCGGAAUUCCUAGUGUAGCGGUGAAAUGCGUAGAUAUUAGGAGGAACACCAGUGGCGAAGGCGGCCUGCUGGACGAUGACUGACGUUGAGGCUCGAAAGCGUGGGGAGCAAACAGG